GGGGGAAUCUUCCGCAAUGGGCGAAAGCCUGACGGAGCAACGCCGCGUGAGGGAUGAAGGCCUCUGGGCUGUAAACCUCUUUUCUCAAGGAAGAAGAUCUGACGGUACUUGAGGAAUAAGCCACGGCUAAUUCCGUGCCAGCAGCCGCGGUAAUACGGGAGUGGCAAGCGUUAUCCGGAAUUAUUGGGCGUAAAGCGUCCGCAGGCGGCCUUGUAAGUCUGUCGUUAAAGCGUGGAGCUUAACUCCAUUUAGGCGGUGGAAACUACAAGGCUAGAGUGUGGUAGGGGCAGAGGGAAUUCCCGGUGUAGCGGUGAAAUGCGUAGAUAUCUGGGAAGAACACUCAGGUGGCGAAAGCGCUGCUGACUGGGCCAUAUACUGACACUGAUGACGA
rnacentral:rRNA from 1 species